CUUAUACUCCCUCCGACCCAAAAUUCUUGUCUUAGAUUAGUGAAGAUAAGGAUGUAUCUAAUACCAAAACAUGACUUGAUACAUCCGUAUUUAGACAAAUCCGAGACAAGAAUUUUGGGACGGGGGGAGUAUUUC
rfam:Triticum aestivum genome assembly, contig: Triticum_aestivum_CS42_TGACv1_scaffold_019463_1AS